rnacentral:lncRNA from 1 species
CGCCCACGCUGACGGCGUCAUCGGUGACGUCACCUCCCGCCGUGACGUCAUCGACCCCGGGGAGCGGGGGCGUGGCGUCGCCCCAGGCGAUGACGUCACCGGGGAAGCCACGCUCGAUGACAUCAUCAGUGAUGCCGCUCUCCGGGGCAAUGACGUCAUCAGUGAGGGUGUGCAAGGUGAUUACAUCAUCAGUGAUGACGUCAUCGGUGAUGACAUCAUCGGCGACAUCGUCCAGAUCUUGCGGGAAGUCGCUCUCUGCUGUGAUGUCAUCGGUGACGUCACGGGCGAUGAUGUCAUCGAUGAAGCCACGCCCAGGGAGGAUGAUGUCAGCGGUGACGUCACUCAUGGGGACGGUGACGUCAUCGGCGUCGCCACUCCCAGGGCGGGAGGCGAUGACGUCACUGUCAGCGAUGACGUCACCAUCGAGAGCUUCCCGCGGGACAGAGGGAGUGACGUCAUCGCCGUCGGUGACACCGGCGGUGACAUCAUCCCCCGGCACAGCGGAAGUGACGUCACCCUCGGCUGUGACGUCACCGGCGGGCGGAGGGGAGGGGCUGCCCCGCCCCUCGGUGACGUCAUCGCCCUCCCCACCCAAGGGGGCCUCAGCAGCGAUGACGUCAUAGGCUGUGACGUCAUCAUCGGAGACUUCCUCUUCCUCUGGGGGCGGGGCCAGCACGGUGAUGGUGAUGCCACCGGCCCGGCAGGUGACGGCGCUGUCCCCAAACUCCCUGUCCCCAAAAUCCCCGUCCCCAAAUUCCCCAGUGUCCCCCGUGUCCCUUGGGGGGGUGACAUCGCUGUCCCCAGUGUCCCUGUCCCCAGUGUCCCCAGUGUCCCCACUGUCCCUUGGGGGGGUGACAUUGCUGUCCCCAGUGUCCCCCAGAGCCAGGACAGGGCUGUCCCCAAGGUCCCCCAUGUCCCCCAGGGCGGUGACAUCUCUGAGCCUGCUGUCCCCAGCCCUGGGGACAACGAUGUCCCCAAUGUCCCCCGGCGCUGGGACAGCCCUGACCCCUCUGUCCCUGUCCCCAGUGUCCCUCGGGGAGGUGACACCGCUGUCCCCAGUGUCCCUGUCCCCAGUGUCCCUCAGGGAGGUGACACCGCUGUCCCCAGUGU